rnacentral:lncRNA from 1 species
AUUAAUCAAUUCAAUUUUGUACCAAAACUUUUUUGGUUGGCUUAAUUUUGUUGUUUGAUUAAACCCAUCAAUCUAAACUUUUGAAAAAGCUUGUUGCUUAAGGUAUUAAAAACAAUUACAUCCGUAAUUAACGAUUUAAUUUGUUUUUAAUUAUAAAUUCAAACAACAAUUCGAAGAGGAGGAAAAUUUGAGAGCAAUUAAUGGGAUGGAGAGAAGAUCAAAGCCGAUUUGGUUGACUAAUAAUAAGUACCGGGUGAUUGUGCAAGCAAGCGUCCCAAUCCGUUAGAGCUUAUAGGACACAUGUCCCAAUUGACUCAACCUUGUGGAGCUACACGCCCAUUGUGGUUGGGGCACCUACUUGACCCAACUGCCCACACUGGUUUUGUCAAGGAAUUAAUUCUUCCUACCUCUUCAUUAUCUCCAACCUUUGGU